CCUACGGGUGGCUGCAGUGGGGAAUAUUGCACAAUGGGCGCAAGCCUGAUGCAGCCAUGCCGCGUGUGUGAAGAAGGCCUUCGGGUUGUAAAGCACUUUCAGCGGGGAGGAAGGCGUUAAGGUUAAUAACCUUGGCGAUUGACGUUACCCGCAGAAGAAGCACCGGCUAACUCCGUGCCAGCAGCCGCGGUAAUACGGAGGGUGCAAGCGUUAAUCGGAAUUACUGGGCAUAAAGCGCACGCAGGCGGUCUGUCAAGUCGGAUGUGAAAUCCCCGGGCUCAACCUGGGAACUGCAUUCGAAACUGGCAGGCUAGAGUCUUGUAGAGGGGGGUAGAAUUCCAGGUGUAGCGGUGAAAUGCGUAGAGAUCUGGAGGAAUACCGGUGGCGAAGGCGGCCCCCUGGACAAAGACUGACGCUCAGGUGCGAAAGCGUGGGGAGCAAACAGGAUUAGAUACCCGGGUAGUC
rnacentral:rRNA from 1 species